rnacentral:rRNA from 1 species
UACGAAGGGGGCUAGCGUUGCUCGGAAUGACUGGGCGUAAAGGGCGCGUAGGCGGCGCAUUUAGUCAGGCGUGAAAUUCCUGGGCUCAACCUGGGACUGCGCUUGAUACGGCUGUGCUUGAGGAUGGAAGAGGCUCGCGGAAUUCCCAGUGUAGAGGUGAAAUUCGUAGAUAUUGGGAAGAACACCGGUGGCGAAGGCGGCGAGCUGGUCCAUUACUGACGCUGAGGCGCGACAGCGUGGGGAGCAAACAGG